rnacentral:rRNA from 1 species
GUUUGAUCCUGGCUCAGGAUGAACGCUAGCGGCAGGCUUAAUACAUGCAAGUCGAGGGGUAUAGUAGCAAUACUAGAGACCGGCGCACGGGUGCGUAACGCGUAUGCAAUCUACCUUUCACAGAGGGAUAGCCCAGAGAAAUUUGGAUUAAUACCUCAUAGUAUUAUAGUAUGGCAUCAUAUUAUAAUUAAAGUCACAACGGUGAAAGAUGAGCAUGCGUCCCAUUAGUUAGUUGGUAAGGUAACGGCUUACCAAGACUACGAUGGGUAGGGGUCCUGAGAGGGAGAUCCCCCACACUGGUACUGAGACACGGACCAGACUCCUACGGGAGGCAGCAGUGAGGAAUAUUGGACAAUGGGCGCAAGCCUGAUCCAGCCAUGCCGCGUGCAGGAUGACGGUCCUAUGGAUUGUAAACUGCUUUUGCACAGGAAGAAACAACAUUACGUGUAAUGUCUUGACGGUACUGUGAGAAUAAGGAUCGGCUAACUCCGUGCCAGCAGCCGCGGUAAUACGGAGGAUCCAAGCGUUAUCCGGAAUCAUUGGGUUUAAAGGGUCCGUAGGCGGCUUUAUAAGUCAGUGGUGAAAUCUCCCCGCUCAACGGGGAAACGGCCAUUGAUACUGUAAGGCUUGAAUUAUUAGGAAGUAACUAGAAUAUGUAGUGUAGCGGUGAAAUGCUUAGAGAUUACAUGGAAUACCAAUUGCGAAGGCAGGUUACUACUAAUGGAUUGACGCUGAUGGACGAAAGCGUGGGUAGCGAACAGGAUUAGAUACCCUGGUAGUCCACGCCGUAAACGAUGGAUACUAGCUGUUGGGUGCAAACUCAGUGGCUAAGCGAAAGUGAUAAGUAUCCCACCUGGGGAGUACGUUCCAAGAAUGAAACUCAAAGGAAUUGACG